UUCCCUUCGGGGAGCGAGUAGAGUGGCGCACGGGUGAGUAACACGUAGGUAAUCUACCUUUGGAUUGGGAAUAACAACCGGAAACGGUUGCUAAUACCGAAUAAUGCAGCGGCACCUAAUGGUGACAGUUGUUAAAGCGGGGGAUCGCAAGACCUCGCGUCUAAAGAGGAGCCUGCGGCGGAUUAGCUAGUUGGUAAGGUAAUGGCUUACCAAGGCGAUGAUCCGUAGCCGGCCUGAGAGGGCGGUCGGCCACACUGACACUGACAUACGGGUCAGACUCCUACGGGAGGCAGCAGUCGGGAAUUUUGGGCAAUGGGCGAAAGCCUGACCCAGCAACGCCGCGUGAAGGAUGAAAUCCCUCGGGAUGUAAACUUCGCAAGAACGGGAAGAAUAAGUGAGGGUUAAUAUCCCUUACGAUGACGGUACUGUUUGUAAGCUCCGGCUAACUCCGUGCCAGCAGCCGCGGUAAUACGGGGGGAGCAAGCGUUGUUCGGAUUUACUGGGCGUAAAGGGCGCGUAGGCGGCCACUGCAAGUCAGUUGUGAAAUCUCCGGGCUUAACCCGGAAAGGUCAACUGAUACUGCAGGGCUAGAGUGCAGAAGGGGCAACUGGAAUUCUCGGUGUAGCGGUGAAAUGCGUAGAUAUCGAGAGGAACACCUGCGGCGAAGGCGGGUUGCUGGGCUGACACUGACGCUGAGGCGCGAAAGCCAGGGGAGCGAACGGGAUUAGAUACCCCGGUAGUCCUGGCCUUAAACGAUGAAUGCUUGGUGUCUGGGGUUUUAUAGUCCCCGGGUGCCGUCGCUAACGCUUUAAGCAUUCCGCCUGGGGAGUACGGUCGCAAGACUG
rnacentral:rRNA from 1 species